AUAUUUUUUUAUAUAUGUAAGUUUUAGCGUUUAUAAAAAUAAUUUAAAUAGUUAUUAAUAUUACAUUCGCAGUUUUUAAUAUUAAAAAUAAAAGAAAUUUGGAUUUAGAAAUAUAUAAUAAUAUUAACAAAAUUUGUGCCAGCAGUUGCGGUUAUACAAAUAAUGUACUUAAAUUUUAUUUAGUAAAUAAUUAAUUUUUAUAUAAAUAAUUAAGUUUUAAAUUUAUUAGGUGAAAUUUUAAAUUUAAAUGAUAAUUAUACUUUAUAUUAUGAGGUUAUAAAAUUUUAUAAUUAGACUAGGAUUAGAUACCCUAUUAUUAAAAAUGUAAAUUAAAAAUACUUAAGUAGUAUUAGUUAUGUUCUUGAAAUUUUAAGAAUUUGGCGGUAUUUUAGUCUUUUCAGAGGAACCUGUCCUAUAAUUGAUAGUCCACGAUUUAUAUCACUUAUCUUAGAUGUUUGUAUAUCGUCGUAGUUUGAAUAUUUUUAAAGAAUCUUAAAUGUUCAAUAAUUUUAAUUUUAAAAGAAAUCAGAUCAAGGUGCAGCUUAUAGGUAAGAAGAGAUGGGUUACAAUAAUUUUAUUUAUAUGGUUUAGAUAAUUAAAUUUAUUUAAUAAAGUGGAUUUGAAAGUAAUAUAGUUUAAUUUAAUUAUAUGAUUUAAGCUCUAAAAUAUGCACAUAUCGCCCGUCGCUCCCAUAAAUUGUUGGGAUAAGUCGUAACAUAGUAGAUGUACUGGAAAGUGUAUCUGGAAUGGC
rnacentral:ncRNA from 2 species